ACAUGUAUAGGAGGUCUUGCCUGCCCAGUGACUAGUUAAACGGCCGCGGUAUUUUGACCGUGCGAAGGUAGCGCAAUCACUUGUCUUUUAAAUGAGGACCUGUAUGAAUGGUGGAACGAGGGCUUAACUGUCUCCCUUCUCAAGUCAAUGAAAUUGAUCUACCCGUGCAGAAGCGGGUAUAAUUAUACAAGACGAGAAGACCCUUUGGAGCUUAAGAUAUAAAAUCAACUAUGUUAAGAAUUCAUUAAAACAAUUAAACUAAAUAGUAACUGAUUACUAUCUUCGGUUGGGGCGACCACGGGAGAAAAUGAAGCUCCCACGUGGACUGGGGUUAUCCCCUAAAACCAAGAGAGACAUCUCUAAGCCACAGAAACAUCUGACCAUAAAAGAUUCCGGCUACACAAGCCCGAUCAACGAAACCAAGUUAACCUAGGGAUUACAGGCGGCAAUCCCCUUCCAGAAUCCAUUAUCGACCAGGGGGUUUACGACCUUCCAUGUUGGAUCAGAACAUCCUAAAUGGUGCCAGCGCUAUUAAGGUUCGUUUGGUCAACGAUUAAAGUCCUACGUGA
rnacentral:rRNA from 1 species